GCAGUGGCAUGUUGUGGCAGUAGGCAGUUGGUUUGCACAACAGGAUAUAUAAUUAUUUAUUAGACAUACUACCGAAGAACUAAUGUAGCCAAUUUUAGGAGGAUGAUAGCAAAGAAAUAUCUUACAUGUCUAAUAACAGGUGUACCAGAAGAUGAAGUCCAGACAACCCUGCCAACAUCAACAAUUGUUAAAGGUGAGACAGUUGAAGGAAUUGUUCAGGAACAAACACUCGAGGAAGAGAAAUCAGCAGCAAUAGAUAACAAUAGUGGCAGACCAGAAAAUAAACUUGAGGGAAUGGCUAAUGUUGUUGAGGUUAGUCAGUAAUGAAGUUAAAAAAGAAGAUAACUGUGUACAUAAUUUCAUGGCAUUUCACACUCAUAAAUUGGUCAUGCUUAGGCAUCCAUGCAAACUGUUGUUAUGUACGAAAAAUAACAUCUCAUUGAUUUGCUAAUAGAUAUAGUACAAAAACAUAAGUGGGCAAGGCCCAAUAAGCACAAAACAGAAACUAGAACACACAAACUCUAGCACAAACAAUCAAUUAUUUAUUUUCUUCAUUUCUAUUACAAUUUUGAUUCUGAUACUGCAUAUGUUAAAACAGACAAUUGAUCAACAUGAAUCCAUGGCCAAGGUCAGCACUGAAAAUGAAGAACAUGCCAACCGCCAUUCUGAACAGUCUAGCAUGGAGAAUGUAAUUACAAAGCAUAUCAAUUCAGAAGGAAUGGUAACAACAGAAAACAGUACAAAAUCAAGUUAUAAUGUGGAAGAACUGGAAAAGGUUCUAGACUCAAACUCCAUAGAAAAUUCAGAAAUGAAGGAUGGUAGAAAAAUCUUGUCAGAGGAAGCAUCUAAUAUGAAAGAAGCCACUGGUAUGGAGUUACAGAAGCCUGAAAUAGAAAGUAAUGUUGAUAAUUCAGCAACUUUCAGUUUUAUCUUUACCCAAUUUAAUAUUUCAUCCGAGAAACAAAUAUACUAAAAUUAAGGUUCCCAAAAAAAAAAACAUAUUCUAAUUGGUAUUGUGAAUCAUUUGAAACUGACUUAACUGAGUUCUUUGGCCAAGUCUAACUUUAGGAAACUUUUGUGUUCUGAAGAAAGGAAUUACUUGAGCCAAGUUUAUGGGGUAGAUAGCAUGUAGACAGUCAUAGUUUGGCCUCAAAAGCGGCUUCUUUAGCAGUGAAAGUUUGAGUUUGAAGAAAACAUAUAAAUAUACUUAAAGCAUAAACUAUAUUAGCCAAUCUGGUGUGGAAGAUUGAAUUUAACAUUUUAUCCGUAUAAUGACAGAUGCACCUGAGGAUAAAGCCAUCUCAACUUUGCCUGAGAUAGUUGAGGAAAGCAUUCAAGAAGUAAUACAAAAGGAAGCUGAAUCAGAAGUGAUCGAUACCAAAGAGGAGCAGAGACCAGGAAAUGAUUUUGUAAAGAACAUGGAAGUUCUCGAGGUUUGCCUGCACUACCACAAAAUAAACUACAUAAUGAUAUAUACCACAUUGCAUAUUCACACUUGCACAUCUUAAUUCCGUGUCUGUGUAGGCAACCAAAUAUUCAUUCUCCCAAUGUACAAUAUCUUUGAGUUCUGAUGCAGUUUAUGUUAAAUUAGGGAUUUGAUUUACACAAAGCGCAAGGCAACACCACUCUGGAAAAUGAAAUGAAAGCAGAAGUCCAGUCUGAAGCAAAGAGCCGGGAGAUCAUUAUCGAGCAUCAAAAUUUGCUGGAGACUGCAGAAAUAAGUCCAAGAAAUGAUACUAAAGAACCUGAAAAGGAACAUAAAGUCACCACAGGUAUCUCUGAAUCAGUAUCUGCAGAUACCACAGAGCAAACAGACACAGGAAAACCGGAAACUCCAGAGGCCGAAAUCACUCAACCAGGCAUCACAAAAGAAGACGAAGCAGGAGACGAAUUCGAAAAAAUAAGCCCAUCAUCUAGUGUGAGUGUGAUAUCCAGAGACUCUCAAGACACCGACACGAAAGUUUCACACAAAAAAUCUCAUGGCAUCCUAUCAGGUGUAGGGUCAAAGGUGAAGCACUCAAUUUCCAAAGUGAAGAAGGCCAUUACAGGCAAGUCUUCACACCCCAAGACACCACCAUCAUCAAAAUAAAAAAAAAGUGACCCAUUAGACAACUACAUACAUGCUGCUUUUGUAAAUAGAUAGAAUACACAGAUGCUUGAGCUUUUUGGAGGGCUUGUUUCUUUUGUUGAGGAAUUGGAUUGAUUUGUUUCAUUGAUGUAUUGCUUGGUUUGUUAUGAAAAUUUAUCUUAAGGGGGGUCUAUUAUUCUCCUAACUCAGUGUAAUGUAUUCAUAUUCUCUUUGUUUUAAUGAAAUUGUUAUAGACAUAAGCACAAGUAGUUGGUGAUUGAAAACAUAGGGAAAGGGUAAAGUAAAGUAAUUUCAAGUUUGUAGUAACAACGGUUUGAAGACAAGAAUAAUGAGAUAGUCAUUGCUAUAGGGACACAUGAAAUGAAUCAUUAUACACCAAAAAUCCAUGGAAAGAACAAAGAAAAGCGACGAAAUUCCAGUUCGAACUUGGCUUUAUCGAGAAUCAAAAGGAAAAGCGAGGAUUGAAGAAAUGAAGUGUAUAUACCUGAGCCAGGACAGGACACUACGUGCACGUGCAACACUUUUUAGCCUAUGCGAAUCAAUGGUGGGUCAAGGGCAGGGCAGGAAAUGCGAGGGUUUUCG
rnacentral:lncRNA from 1 species